rnacentral:rRNA from 1 species
UACAGAGGGUGCGAGCGUUAAUCGGAAUUACUGGGCGUAAAGGGUGCGUAGGUGGUUACGUAAGUUAGGUGUGAAAGCCCCGGGCUUAACCUGGGAAUUGCGCUUGAUACUGCGUGGCUAGAGUACUGUAGAGGAAAGUGGAAUUUCCGGUGUAGCGGUGAAAUGCGUAGAUAUCGGAAGGAACACCGGUGGCGAAGGCGACUUUCUGGACAGAUACUGACACUGAGGCACGAAAGCAUGGGGAGCAAACAGG